rnacentral:rRNA from 1 species
UACAGAGGUCCCAAGCGUUGUUCGGAUUCACUGGGCGUAAAGGGUGCGUAGGUGGUGGGGUAAGUCGGAUGUGAAAUCUCCGAGCUCAACUCGGAAACUGCAUUGGAAACUACCCUGCUAGAGGGUCGGAGGGGGGACUGGAAUACUUGGUGUAGCAGUGAAAUGCGUAGAGAUCGGGAAGAACAUCGGUGGCGAAAGCGCUCUGCUGGACUGCAACUGACACUCAGGGACGAAAGCUAGGGGAGCGAAUGGG